GCUGGGCACGGUGGCACGUGCCUGUAGUCUUAGCUACUUGGGAGGCUGAGGUGGGAGGAUCGCUUGAGCCCAGGAGUUCUGGGCUGUAGUGCGCUAUGCCUCACUAAGUUCGGCAUCAAUAUGGUGACCUCCUAGGAGCGGGGGACCACCAGGUUGUCUAAGGAGGGGUGAACUGGCCCAGGUGGGAAAUGGAGUAGGUCAAAACUCCUAUGCUGAUCAGUAGUGGGAUCGCGCCUGUGAAUAGCCACUGCACUCCAGCCUGGGCAACAUAGCAAGACCUGUCUCUA
ensembl:misc_RNA Metazoa_SRP Metazoan signal recognition particle RNA